rnacentral:rRNA from 1 species
CGGCAACAGCUCAAAUUUGAAAUCUGGCCCUCUCAGGGUCCGAGUUGUAAUUUGGAGAGGAUGCUUCGGGUGUGGCCCCGGUCUAAGUUCCUUGGAACAGGACGUCACAGAGGGUGAGAAUCCCGUACGUGGUCGCUAGCCUUUACCGUGUAAAGCCCCUUCGAC